AGUGGGAUAAUUGGGUCAAAUGGUGGUUCCAUUCUAAGUUUCCUGAGAAAUCUACAUACUGCUUUCCAGAGUGGUUGCACCAAUUGUAGUCCCACUAGCAAU
rnacentral:pre_miRNA from 1 species